GCCUGGGUGGCUCAGUUGGUUAAGCAUCUGACUUCAGCUCAGGUCAUGAUCUCACGGUUCAUGGGUUUGAACCCCAAGUCAGGCU
rnacentral:tRNA from 1 species